ACUAAAAAUGUCCACGGCUAAGUCAUAGUCCUGAUAGUUUUAAAAAUAUGACCAUUUGUUUGCAACUCACGCCAUCCAUUGACAUUCAUUGAAAAUCCACUCUAGCCAGUUCAAAUUUGAAGGGCAAUUUGUAAACUGCAACUGUGCCUUCAUUGUUAAUAUCUCAGAGACAUACUAUGCAUCAAAAUGUAGGUCUGGGUGUUGUGAUUCUCACAAUAUAAAGCUCUUCGCUG